UACUUGUAGAAAAUUUACGUAAAAUAAUAUGCCAUAUUACAGAAAAUUUAUAUUUGUGACACACAAGUGGACUACUAUAAUGUCCAUCACAAAAUUAAAUUAAAGAAGAAAUAAAAUGUCUUAAAUAUAAUUAACGCCGCAAAAUGAUAUCCGAACACGGAAAACUUCUUCUUCGCCUUGUGAGUGGAUGGUAGUCUACCUAUCCGAAGGAGCGACCUUCGAGGAUCUUUCAAACCAUAACCCCAUUUUCUGUCUUUGGCAUGUACAAGGCAAAACAAAAGCUUGGAAGCUGCAGAUAUCAGUCUCACCUACAAUGAUAAGACAACUAAACCAGUAACCAUGCGAAGACGAGAAGCUGACACUUAAGUUCUCUUGCCUUCACAAGAACAUCAAUUUUGUCACCUUAGUCAUGCUCGGUGAACCUGAGUACAUAUGAACAAAUACAACACACGUGUCAACAUCCCUAAAGUGAGAUAGAAAAAGAUCUAAAGAAUUCCCUAUAGAGAAUGACAUCAACUGCAACUCUUGAAACAAAUUAUGCAUUAUUUAAAUCAAAAGUUCUAUAAUUCCUUCUUCUAUAAAUGAACUAUUAUGCAAUUAGCACUACCCAAAAUUAUAUGCAGACACUACAAUUAACAAGACCUAAGCCUUGAAAGCAAAUUCUUGAAAAAGAAAACUCGAAAGAAAUUCCUUUUGAUCAUUUCCCACAAAAAGCUACGUGAAAUGUUUUCACAUUUAGUAGAUAAACCUUAACCGAAAGGGAAGUAGAUACAAGAGAAAAUUGGAAGUUGGAUCGGAG
rnacentral:lncRNA from 1 species